rnacentral:rRNA from 1 species
UACGUAGGGUGCAAGCGUUAAUCGGAAUUACUGGGCGUAAAGCGUGCGCAGGCGGUUAUGCAAGACAGAUGUGAAAUCCCCGGGCUUAACCUGGGAACCGCAUUUGUGACUGCAUAGCUGGAGUACGGCAGAGGGGGAUGGAAUUCCGCGUGUAGCAGUGAAAUGCGUAGAUAUGCGGAGGAACACCAGUGGCGAAAGCGGCUUCCUGGUCCAGCACCGACGUUCAGGCACGAAAGCGUGGGGAGCAAACAGG